GUGCCCAUAGCUCACUCAGUUCGAGUGUGGUGCUGAUAACGCCAAGGUCGUGGGUUCGAUCCCCGUUGGGUCCC
rnacentral:tRNA from 1 species